rnacentral:rRNA from 1 species
UAGGGAAUCUUCCGCAAUGGACGCAAGUCUGACGGAGCAACGCCGCGUGAGUGAAGAAGGAUUUCGGUUCGUAAAACUCUGUUGUUAGAGAAGAACAGCGCAUAGAGUAACUGUUAUGCGUGUGACGGUAUCUAACCAGAAAGCCACGGCUAACUACGUGCCAGCAGCCGCGGUAAUACGUAGGUGGCAAGCGUUGUCCGGAUUUAUUGGGCGUAAAGCGAGCGCAGGCGGUCAAUUAAGUCUGAUGUGAAAGCCCCCGGCUCAACCGGGGAGGGUCAUUGGAAACUGGUUGACUUGAGUGCAGAAGAGGAGAGUGGAAUUCCAUGUGUAGCGGGGAAAUGCGUAGAUAUAUGGAGGAACACCAGUGGCGAAGGCGACUCUCUGGUCUGUAACUGACGCGGAGGCUCGAAAGCGUGGGUAGCAAACAGG